GAACCGUCCAAACGUUAUUCGGAAUCAUUGGGGCUUAAAGGGGUGCGUAGGCGGCGUGGUCAGUUGGGUGUGAAAUCCCUCGGCUCAACCGAGGAACUGCGCCCAAUACUGCCACACUCGAGGGAGACAGAGGUAAGCGGAACUGAUGGUGGAGCGGUGAAAUGCGUUGAUAUCAUCAGGAACACCAGUGGCGAAGGCGGCUUACUGGGUCUCUUCUGACGCUGAGGCACGAAAGCUAGGGGAGCGAACGGGAUUAGAUACCCCGGUAGUCCUAGCUGUAAACGAUGAGCACUUGAUCGGAGACUCCUCCAUAGGUUUCCGGUCGUAGCGAAAGUGUUAAGUGCUCCGCCUGGGGAGUAUGGUCGCAAAGGCUG
rnacentral:rRNA from 1 species